rnacentral:rRNA from 1 species
UACGUAGGGUGCGAGCGUUAAUCGGAUUUACUGGGCGUAAAGCGUGCGCAGGCGGCCCGUUAAGACAGGUGUGAAAUCCCUGGGCUCAACCUAGGAAUUGCGCUUGUGACUGGCGGGCUCGAGUACGGUAGAGGGGGGUGGAAUUCCUGGUGUAGCAGUGAAAUGCGUAGAGAUCAGGAGGAACACCGAUGGCGAAGGCAGCCCCCUGGGCCUGUACUGACGCUCAUGCACGAAAGCGUGGGGAGCAAAUAGG